rnacentral:rRNA from 1 species
CAGUCGCCACGGGAAUACGAAGGGGGCUAGCGUUGCUCGGAAUGACUGGGCGUAAAGGGCGCGUAGGCGGCGAUCAAAGUCAGGCGUGAAAUUCCUGGGCUCAACCUGGGGGCUGCGUUUGAUACUUGAUUGCUAGAGUGGGGAAGAGGGUCGUGGAAUUCCCAGUGUAGAGGUGAAAUUCGUAGAUAUCGGAAGGAACACCAGUGGCGAAGGCGGCUACCUGGAUUGACACUGACACUGAGGCGCGAGAGCGUGGGGAGCAAACAGGAUUAGAUACCCCCGUAGUCCCUGUCUCUUAUAC